rnacentral:lncRNA from 1 species
UUCACCAGAAGAAAAUCAAACUUUCAGAACGGGUGGCCACUCCGAAUUCCCUCACAGCUCCAAGCCCACUAUGGUUGGGGAUUUUCUGCGUGGAUGAAAAUAAAAGGGGUGAGUUUGGGGAAACUCAGUGUGUAAGGAAAACCCAUUCAAAGCCCAAGUCAGCUCAAGCCUAUUGGGCCUAAGCCCAUUCAGGUAACAGUGAUACUGGGCUAGAGCCCUUUUCAGAUUACAAUAAACUAGGCCUUAGCCCCUUAUUCAGAUAACAGUAUGGCCCAUAGACCCAUUUCAAAAUACAUGCAACAUCAGUAAACAUAUGCAAGCCCAUUUGGGGAGACUACUCAACCCACCAACCACUACACUCCACCCGUACCAGCAAUACACUCCAUGUGGGGAUAGCUCAACCCACCCAGCCCAACACUCCACAGUUGCAGCAUUGCUGCUCAGUUAACAGUAAAUUGAGGCAAAGCCUCCAGUACAUGGACAAGCCACUUUCAAUACUUCCUCCGUCAAUAUCUCAAUCCCAUGCAUCAGAUAAUAACAACAUGACAUGCAGUAAAUAACAACAGUCAAACAUGCAUUUAAGUCAAUUUAACCCUAGGGGUAUUUCGGUAAUUUAUCUCCUAGGGGUAAAACUGUAAAUUUUCCACUUUUAAAGGUAUUUCAGUAAUUUAUCUAUUUUAGGGUUUUUCAUGCAUAUUCCUACUUUUCACGUACUAAUAGAAUCACUACCGAGGGUUCUUACCGAAUUGGGCCCGUUGGCCCAUCAUUCCAAUUUUGGCCCAUUAAGCCCAAAAAUAUCGAGGGCACAGAAAUCAUGCACUUUGCAGUCCAAACAUUGCAGCUUACCAAAAACAUUAAUCGAUUUACCUCACGACCAUUCGCACACUCGCAAAUCUACAAAAUACCGGUUUUCGGCAUUUCGGCUUUUCGACUUUUGCCAAUCUAGACUAAGAAAGAGGGUGUUAGUUACACACCUAUUUGCAACGAUAUGCUAACGAGAUCCACACACGAACCGCCUACAAUUGGAUUACUAACACGUUAAUCUAACUAUUCAAAUACAAACUACGUAUUAACCCCUUACAAUAUUCGGCCAACCACACCUAUAGAUCAUAGUAAGCUUAUAAGAAAACAAUAAGCAACUCAUUAACAAAUUUUUGUGAAUGUUUACCACAUAAUCAUAAUUUCACUGCAAGCUGUCUUCCUGAGCGAUAGUCACUAAAUCAUUUAUAACUGGAGCUACGAAACUCCAAAUCAAGUGCCGUUAAUUUUUCCUAAAAAUAGACUCAAAUAUCUUAUAUCCAUAAAAUUUUUAGAAUUUUUGGUUUGGCCAAUCAAUACCAGAUUUUUCUCAAAGUUUCUCAUGUUUCACUGUUUGACUAAUCUGACCACUCUUCAUUACGAAUCAAAUUUCUCAUUGUACAGAAUUCAAAAUAUGUUCUCGUUUAUUCCAUUUGAAACUAGACUCAUUAAGAUUUAAUUACAUAAUCUAUUCAACUUCUAAUUCAUCUCCCGCAAUUUAUGGUGAUUUUCCAAAGUCACGUUACUGCUGCUGUCCCAAGCAGAUUUAUUACCAAAUCACUCUUUCACACAUAACUUGCAUGCAUGUUUUUUUUUUAAAACAUGUAUAUCUCCAAUCAAUCAUCACAUAUCUAUGAUUUUAAUUAAGUAUAAUCUCCAUUUCAUCAUUUUAAAGCACAACAUAUUAGCCGAUUUUUCCCCUUAGCAUCUAAGCACAUGCAUGCUCAUUUGUUUGGCUCAACUUCACUUAUCUUCCAUUUUUCAUCAAAAGAACAUGAAACAACAACCAUUUCCUUCAUUUUAAUUCAUGACCAAAUGCUCACAACACAACCAAAAACCAAAAUAUGCUUCAAGAGUUAAGGUAGAAUCAAGAAGAACUCAUGAACAUCAAGAUAGAAGCAAACUACCAUGAACUUACCUUCAAUUUUCUUCCCCAAGUGACCAAACAUUUAAGAGCUUUCUCCUCUCCUUUCUCUUCUCUAACUUUAGGCUAUGAUGAACAAAGAUGGACAAAACUUUGUUCUUUUCACCCCUUUUUCUUUUAAUAAAACUUCAUAGUUCAUCCAUUUAAUUCUUUAAUACAAAAGACAUGAAAUUCUUAUCAUGAAACAUUUACCUAACCCAUUAUCAUAAAACAUUUACCUAACCUUUUAUCAAUUUGUAUCAAUUUGUACCAUAAAUUAUGGAUAUCAAGUGCACAUUUUGUCUACAACAACAUGAUGGCUGGCCACUUCAUGUAAAAUGGGAGGUUUGUCAUGCAAAUCCUCCUAUUUUGCACUCCUAUUUAUUUGGCCACUUCAAUUUAGCCUAUAGCAUUUUCAAACAUUUUCACAUAGGUUCUAUUUCAUAAUUUCACCCCCUUUUUCUUAUGGAACAAAAAUUAACUAAAAUUGUCGGGUUCUAUCUUAAGUUUGGGCUUUCUAGAGGCCCACUAACAUAAUUAAACCUAUGCCAACAUUCACAUGAUUCCCAAAAAUUGGGGCGUAACAACUCUACCCUCCUUAAAGAAAUUUCGUCCUCGAAAUUUACCUAAUCUAAACAGAUGAGGGUAUUGCUGUUGCAUCGUCUCUUCUGGCUCCCAAACUCAGAAGUUUCCCCUUCCUUAACUUGUUGAAAAUGAGCGAUCAAAGACUCAUCAUUCAACUAUUUUUCCUUAAUCUGAUCCACCCAGGUUGGCCUUACUUGCAAUUCAGCCAACAAACUGCCAUCAUCAUACAGACUCAAACGAGCAAACAUUGCUCUCAGAUCAGAUACGGUUCUACGACUUAAAACAUCGGCUACCACAUUAGCCUUGCCUGGGUGAUACUCGAUCGAACAGUCAUAAUCCUUAAGCAACUCAAUCCAUCUCCUUUGCCUAAGGUUUAGCUCCUUCUGAGUCAACAAAUACUUAAGACUCUUAUGGUCAGUGUAUAUAAUACACCUUUCUCCGUACAAGUAAUGUCUCCAAAUCUUAAGCGCAAAUAUCACUGCUGCCAACUCUAAAUCAUGAGUCAAAUAGUUUCCCUCAUGAGGCUUAAGCUAUCGUGAUGCAUAUGCAACCACCUUACCCUCUUGCAUUAACACGCAGCCCAAACCCACGUGUGAUGCAUCACUGUACACACUAAAAUCCUUCCCAGACUCCGGCUGAAUUAACACAGGUGCUUCAGUCAGAACUUUCUUCAACUUCUCAAAAGUUUCCUGCUGCUUCUUAGUCUAUACAAACGGUACUCCUUUCCUUAUGAGUUUUUCAGAGGUGCUGCCAUCACAGAAAAACCUUCCACAAACCUUCUGUAGUAUCCUGCCAGUCCUAGGAAACUCCGUAUUUCCGACACUGACCUAGGCGGCUUCCACUCUAAAAUUGCUUCAAUCUUUUGAGGGUCCACCUUAAUCCCUUCGGCAAAGACCACAUAUCCUAAGAAGGUUACCUCCCUCAACCAAAAUUCAAACUUGCUGAACUUCGCAAAGAGUUCCUUCUCCCUUAAUACUUACAGCACUAUACGGAGAUGCUCAUCAUGUUUCAUUUUAGUUUCAGAAUAUACCAGGAUAUCGUCAAUAAAGACGACUACGAACUGAUCCAAAAAUGGUUGGAACACACGAUUCAUUGGAUCCAUAAAUGCUGCAGGAGCGUUCGUUAGUCCAAAUGGCAUAACCAGAAACUCGUAAUGACCAUACCGAGUCCUGAAUGUCGUCUUUUGGAUAUCUGCCUCCUUGACCCUUAACUGAUGAUAUCCAGAUCGAAGGUCGAUCUUGGAAAAUACAGAAGCUCAUCUAAGCUGGUCGAAUAGAUCAUCAAUCCUUGGCAGUGGAUACUUAUUCUUAAUCGUAAGUUUGUUCAACUGGCGAUAAUCAAUGCACAUCGGCAUCGUACCAUCCUUCUUUUUCACGAAUAGCACCGGUGCUCCCCAUGGAGACACGCUUGGCCUAAUGAAGCCCCUAUCCAACAACUCUUGAAUUUGAGCCUUUAACUCCACUAACUCCUUUGGUGCCAUCCUAUACGGUGCGAUGGACACAGGCGCCGUUCCAGGCAACAAAUCUAUUCCAAACUUAACUUAUCGGUUCGGAGGCAAUCCUGGAAGCUCCUCCGGAAAAACAUCUUGGAACUCCUUUACGGUCCUAACCUUAUCCACUGUCAGUCCCUCCUCUUCCGACUGACUUACAAAUACCAAUUAGGCCUCACAACCUUUUUGAAUCCACUUUUUGGCUCUUAAAGCCGACACCACAUUGGACAAAUAAUCCCUUCGCUCACCUAUCACUAUAACCUCCUCAUCCUUUGUGGUCCUUAACACCAUUCGUUUAGCAGCACAAUCUAGAGUCACUUUAUGCUUAACAAGCCAGUCCAUUCCCAAAAUGAGAUCAAACUCUCCGAACGGUAACUCCAUCAAAUCUCCAGGGAAAAUCUUACCUUGAGUUUCUAAGGGUACAUCCCUAUACAGUUUGUCUACCCUAACUGAGUGACCCAAAGGACUUAGUACAGAUACCCCACUCAAAAUCUCCUCAAAGCAGUCUAAGUUGUCCAUAAUCCGUUCUGUGGCCUCUAACCAAUAUUCUGCCACAUUCGGGGCUAUACCAGACACGCCCCUAAAGAUCUCCGCUCCGUUAGCCCAGAGUCGUUCAGAAAUAGAUCCCCGAAUUCCGUUGCUCGUACUUGCUCCGGCAACCCUUUCCAGAACACGAAGCAUUGCCUGUGAUAGGGCAUCAUUCCCAGCACCGCAGUCAUGAGACUCUACUUCUGUUGCUGGUGGUACCGGUGUAUCCACCGCCGGCAUAUGUCUCGAAGACGAAGAUCUCGCUCGAGCACUUCCUCGGCUCCAUCCACGGCCACUUGUACUCAUAUCGUAUUAUCUUGAUUACAAAUUUUUAUGCAUCAAUUAAUAUUCCAGUGUUUAUUACAGAUGUUUUAUGAAUCAGAUAGAUAUUCAGAGUUUGUUUUCGCAGAAUCGAAGUCUAGCUACAGUUUCAGUCUCUUAUCAAAUUUUUCUAUGGUUUCAGUAUCAUCCUAUCUAGAGUAUCCUAGCAGGAUUUUAGUAUAGACAGAUAAUUCAGGAAAAUAUUCAGAAAAAUUCAGAAUACUUACAGACUUGAGCCGGAGAUUCGGAAUGCCACCUUCUAAAGAUCUAAAUUUUGAAAAUCAAGUUUUUCGCAUUCUUUAUAAAAUUUUCGCUUUCAAGAAUCUUUGUUUUUGUAAACCCAUUCCACAGCCGAGUUGUUGCAACCUAGGCUCUGAUACCACUAAAUGUAGCACCCCAAACCUGGCCCAGACAUUAUGGCCGGAUCCGACACGCCACAUCGAAGCGUUCAAAAUAUUUUAUAUUAUUGGUCCAGAAAAACUUAGUAUUUUAAAAGAUAAUUUCAUUAUAGGUUAAAGUGAAUGGAAGCUGUGCACCAGGUAGGAAACCGGAAAAGAGGUGGUGAGUCCAUCGGACUGCUUAAGUACCAAGCUCCCUUCGGAUCCAAUCCUAGACAUGCAGACCGCCAUUGCCACACCUUAACGUCAUGGAUAUUUCUAGGAAACCGAUUUGAUUAAGUCAUUUUUAGGAAAAGUGAUUAAUUUUGGAAAAUACUUUCAUUGCGGAAGCUUUAUUUGUUGUCGUGUUAUUUUGAAAUCAAUUGUUGUUUUUGAAAAUGCGCCCUAAAGCUAUCCAAUUUCAACAGUUAAAAUAAGUAAUACCUAUCUUAGUAAUACAUAUUAAAACCAUCAAAAAUAAUUAAGCGGCCUUAUUACAUUUAAAAACCCAAAACUUCAAACGUAAAUAAAAGGAUGUCCAGUUCACUAGAAGAAAAUCAAACUUUCAGAACGGGUGGCCACUCCGAAUUCCCUCACAGCUCCAAGUCCACUAUGGUUGGGGAUUUUCUGCAUGGAUGAAAAUAAAAGGGGUGAUUUUGGGGAAACUCAGUGUGUAAGGAAAACUCAUUCAAAGCCCAAGUUAGCUCAAGCCUAUUGGGCCUAAGCCCAUUCAGGUAACAGUGAUACUGGGCCAGAGCCCUUUUCAGAUUACAAUAAACUGGGCCUUAGCCCCUUAUUCAGAUAACAGUAUGGCCC